rnacentral:tRNA from 1 species
GCGCCCGUAGCUCAACGGAUAGAGCAUCUGACUACGGAUCAGGAGGUUGUGGGUUCGAAUCCCACCGGGCGCG